rfam:Cloacibacillus evryensis DSM 19522 genomic scaffold CloevDRAFT_Scaffold1.1, whole genome shotgun sequence.
ACUCCAGUCCCAUGCGGCGCGAGCCCGUGAACCUCGUCAGGUCCGGAAGGAAGCAGCGAUAAGCGGAAUCUUGCGGGUGCCAUGGGAGCGCUGGAGUUCC